AAACUGGAAUGAACGGUUUAAUUAUUAAAUAUGUGUUUGUAGAAUUAAAUAGUAAAUUAAAGAUAAAGUAAGAAUUCUUUGAUUUUUAGGGGGACGACAAGACCCUAAAAGCUUUAUAAUAAGAUAUUUUAUGGUGAAACAGAUUAUAAUUAAUUUACUGGGGCAGCAAAUUUUAAUUUAUAAAAUAAGAUUUAAAUGGUCCUUUAAAUAAGGGUUUCAUGGAUUAGUUACUUUAGGGAUAACAGUGUAAUAUGUUUAGAGAGAUCUUAUCGAUAAAUAUGUUUGCAACCUCGAUGUUGAAUUAAAAAGUCUGUAUGGAGCAAAAUAUAUACAAGAAAGUUUGUUCAACUUUUAAAUUUUUACAUGAUCUGAGUUCAAACCGG
rnacentral:rRNA from 1 species